rnacentral:rRNA from 1 species
GACGAACGCUGGCGGCGUGCUUAACACAUGCAAGUCGAACGGAAAGGCCUGCUUUCCCUUGUGGAUUGCGGGUACUCGAGUGGCGAACGGGUGAGUAACACGUGAGUGAUCUGCCCCCAACUUGGGUAUAAGCCUGGGAAACUGGGUCUAAUUCCCGAUAGGACUGCAGGGUGGUGCCUGUGGUGGAAAACGAUUUUCUAGUGGUUGGGGAUGAGCUCGCGGCCUAUCAGCUUGUUGGUGGGGUAAUGGCCUACCAAGGCGGCGACGGGUAGCCGGCCUGGGAGGGUGGACGGCCACAUUGAGACUGAGAUACGGCCCAGACUCCUACGGGAGGCAGCAGUGGGGAAUAUUGGACAAUGGGCGGAAGCCUGAUGCAGCGACGCCGCGUGGGGGAUGACGGCCUUCGGGUUGUAAACUCCUUUCGACCGCGAGGAAGCCACCUGGUUGGAAGGGUGGUGACGGUAGUGGUAGAAGAAGCACCGGCUAACUACGUG